AAAAGUUAUUAAUAAACCAGUUCAUACAUUGUAAACAUGGACUAUUCGGAAUGGAUUUAGACACAGAGAGCACGUUUGAGGUAAAAUUGCCUUGAAAUGAAGGGUUUACGGGUGUUUUCUAAGUCAAAUGAGUGGACAGACAAAGCUGUAUUUAGUUUACUGUGUUAAAUUUUAAAUUACCCUGACAGAUUUGUUUAUACAACAUGUGAUUUUUUUUAUUUCAGUGUUAACCAUGUUCUGAAGAGCAUUCUGUUGAAAAAUCUCAUAUGUGAAUUAGUCUGCAGAUGACACUUCAGCAUUAAAGUAAGUAUCAACUAUCAUCAUGUUUUUUUGUGUUUUUUUUGGCCGCAAAAGUUUACAAUUUGCCAUUGUGCCGUCUACAUUUUGCACAGACAAUAAAUCAUCUAAACACUUAUUUGUCCUGGAUUUAUACACAUCAGAAUCACGUCUCACAUACUUAAACUUUAUAAUUCUUACCAAUUAUUUGUACCAGCAUUCCAAGGGACAUAACCCUUUUAAAAAACAUUUUGAGGUAUUUUUUUAUUACUCUUUCUCCCCAUUUUCUAAUGUAAAAUACAAGAAAGUGGACUCUUUGUGUAAAUCUAUUAGAAAUAUACUGUUAUGAGUAAAUAAAAAGACUUUGAUACCAGUAACAAUAAAUGAUUGACUGAAAGGGAACCGUUAUUUGUCACACUAGGCGAACAGACCAAAAACUUGAGUUACACAUAAGGGCUUAUAGAAACUUCCGUGUAGACUGUUAACAUUUAUAGAGACAGUUCUUUCAGCUAAAACACUUUAAUUAUUGAUUUAACAUUACAUUUAUUUCAUUUUUGUGGGGAAAUAAUCACAUUUGUUUUAAUUUUUAGACAAAAGAUAUCAAGUUUUGAUGAAAAAGGAAGGAAGGAGGAAAAAUGUACCAAAACAGACCAAAACAGACCUUCAAAUGAACUCUAAAAGGUGC
rnacentral:lncRNA from 1 species